rnacentral:ncRNA from 2 species
CUAUAGUGUUACGUAUACCUUCAUAUAUCCUCGAUAAUAUGGUUCGAGAGUCUCUACCGGGUCACCUUAAAUGGCCUGACUAUGAAGGCAGGAUAUUCUUUU